rnacentral:rRNA from 1 species
GACGAACGCUGGCGGUGUGCUUAACACAUGCCAGUCGAACGGAAAGGCCCUGCUUUUGUGGGGUGCUCGAGUGGCGAACGGGUGAGUAACACGUGAGUAACCUGCCCUUGACUUUGGGAUAACUUCAGGAAACUGGGGCUAAUACCGGAUAGGAGCUCCUGCUGCAUGGUGGGGGUUGGAAAGUUUCGGCGGUUGGGGAUGGACUCGCGGGUUAUCAGCUUGUUGGUGGGGUAGUGGCUUACCAAGGCUUUGGCGGGUAGCCGGCCUGAGAGGGUGACCGGCCACAUUGGGACUGAGGGACGGACCAGACUCCUACGGGAGGCAGCAGUGGGGAAUAUUGCACAAUGGGCGGAAGCCUGAUGCAGCAACGCCGCGUGCGGGAUGACGGCCUUCGGGUUGUAAACCGCUUUCGCCUGUGACGAAGCGUGAGUGACGGUAAUGGGUAAAGAAGCACCGGCUAACUACGUG